rnacentral:rRNA from 1 species
UACAGAGGUCCCAAGCGUUGUUCGGAUUCACUGGGCGUAAAGGGUGCGUAGGCGGUAGGGUAAGUCUGAUGUGAAAGCUCUGGGCCUAACCCAGAAAUUGCAUUGGAAACUAUCCUGCUAGAGUCUCUAAGGGGAGGCUGGAAUUCUCGGUGUAGCAGUGAAAUGCGUAGAUAUCGAGAGGAACACCAGUAGCGAAAGCGAGCCUCUGGGAGAGAACUGACGCUGAGGCACGAAAGCUAGGGGAUCAAACAGG